AGAGUAUGAUAUGACUUAGUGGCGGACGGGUGAGUAACGCGUGAGUAACCUGCCUUUCAGAGGGGGAUAACAGUUGGAAACGACUGCUAAUACCGCAUAACAUAUCGAGAUCGCAUGGUCUUGAUAUCAAAGCUGAGGCGCUGGAAGAUGGACUCGCGUCUGAUUAGAUAGUUGGUGAGGUAACGGCUCACCAAGUCGACGAUCAGUAGCCGGACUGAGAGGUUGAACGGCCACAUUGGGACUGAGACACGGCCCAGACUCCUACGGGAGGCAGCAGUGGGGAAUAUUGCACAAUGGGCGAAAGCCUGAUGCAGCAACGCCGCGUGAGGGAAGACGGUUUUCGGAUUGUAAACCUCUGUCUUUGGUGAAGAUAAUGACGGUAGCCAAGGAGGAAGCCACGGCUAACUACGUGCCAGCAGCCGCGGUAAUACGUAGGUGGCAAGCGUUGUCCGGAAUUACUGGGUGUAAAGGGAGCGCAGGCGGGACUGCAAGUUGGAUGUGAAAUGUCGCGGCUUAACCGCGGAGCUGCAUCCAAAACUGUAGUUCUUGAGUGGAGUAGAGGUAGGCGGAAUUCCGAGUGUAGCGGUGAAAUGCGUAGAUAUUCGGAGGAACACCAGUGGCGAAGGCGGCCUACUGGGCUCUUACUGACGCUGAGGCUCGAAAGUGUGGGGAGCAAACAGGAUUAGAUACCCUGGUAGUC
rnacentral:rRNA from 1 species